UGGGGAAUAUUGGACAAUGGGGGAAACCCUGAUCCAGCGAUGCCGCGUGAGUGAUGAAGGCCUUCGGGUUGUAAAGCUCUUUCAGUGGGGAGGAUAAUGACGUUACCCACAGAAGAAGGACCGGCUAACUUCGUGCCAGCAGCCGCGGUAAUACGAAGGGUCCUAGCGUUGUUCGGAAUUACUGGGCGUAAAGGGUGCGUAGGCGGUUUAUUAAGUCAGGUGUGAAAUCCCCAAGCUCAACUUGGGAACUGCAUUUGAUACUGGUAAGCUAGAGAUCGGAAGAGGUGAGUGGAAUUCCUAGUGUAGAGGUGAAAUUCGUAGAUAUUAGGAAGAACACCAGCGGCGAAGGCGGCUCACUGGUCCGAUACUGACGCUAAGGCACGAAAGCGUGGGAGCAAACAG
rnacentral:rRNA from 1 species